rnacentral:rRNA from 1 species
AACGAACGCUGGCGGCAGGCUUAACACAUGCAAGUCGAGCGCCGUAGCAAUACGGAGCGGCAGACGGGUGAGUAACGCGUGGGAAUCUACCCAUCACUACGGAACAACUCCGGGAAACUGGAGCUAAUACCGUAUACGUCCUUCGGGAGAAAGAUUUAUCGGUGAUGGAUGAGCCCGCGUUGGAUUAGCUAGUUGGUGGGGUAAUGGCCCACCAAGGCGACGAUCCAUAGCUGGUCUGAGAGGAUGAUCAGCCACACUGGGACUGAGACACGGCCCAGACUCCUACGGGAGGAAGCAGUGGGGAAUAUUGGACAAUGGGCGCAAGCCUGAUCCAGCCAUGCCGCGUGAGUGAUGAAGGCCCUAGGGUUGUAAAGCUCUUUCACCGGUGAAGAUAAUGACGGUAACCGGAGAAGAAGCCCCGGCUAACUUCGUGCCAGCAGCCGCCGUAAGAC